rnacentral:ncRNA from 1 species
UUAAAAGUAAUGAAGGGGAGCAAGUAGCCUGAUCCCCGGGCUGCAGAGAGCUGGUGGGCGGUGUAAACCAGCGCCCGGCCGGGUGAAAGGAUCGCCCCGGAACUGCCGGCUGAAAGGUGUUCAAGCCGAUUAAGCCAAGGACGGAUUGGCCGCUGUUAGAAAGGCCGUGUCGUUUGUUAGGCGCAAAAGCAGGCUUUUAUUUUUUAAAAAUAAAGGCAAGCAGGGUGGUACCGCGCGAGGAUUAAACCUCCCGUCCCUGGC